AUUCCCGUAGCUCAAGUGAGGAGCAGCGGUCUCCAAAACCGCAGGCUGUAGGUUUAAGUCCUGCCGGGAAUG
rnacentral:tRNA from 1 species